UCAGAAGUCAAGUCGGGGGCUGCAAAGCCUUCGUCUACACCCAUGUCUUUUGAGUACUUACUGUUUCCUCGGCUGGUCGCAAGCCGCCGAUUGGACAAUUAAAACCAUUUUGUCAUUGCAGUCAGCGUCUGAAAAAUCUUAAUAUUUA
rnacentral:misc_RNA from 1 species